rnacentral:lncRNA from 1 species
UAUUUAACUUAGAUUAGUCCCUAAUGUACCGAGUCUAAGGGUAGGAUAAGUGUAUAAGGUAUCGGGAUAGACUCGAGCACUAAAUAAACCAAAUCAAGUUUCAAACUUUUCAAAGUUUCUGAGGCUGAACCGGUCGAACAACAUGCUGGAUCGGUUCAGGACUCAACAGUAGGUUUCCUAGCAAUCUGGACUGGGCGGGGAGAAGCUGGACUGGUCUAGGACACAUCAGUAGGUUUUCUGGUAAAGCUAGACCGGUCAGAAAAAAACUGGACCGGUCCAAGGCAAGACAAAUUUUCUAGCUUGACUUCCAAGCUUGUUUCGAGCUACUAAAUCUCAAAAUUAGGAAAAAUACUUAAAAUAAAAGUUUUAGGUAUUUGAAAUAGCUUUCAUACACAACUUUAAUCGAGUUAAAAGGUUGUCAUACGAAAAAGUUACGCCUAAAAUACUAACUGCUAGUUUCAUAGAAAAAUCGAACAUGCCCAUGCUUCAAUUUCAAGCCUACCACAAUGUACACGAGUCAUAUUUUCACCAAUUUCUCAAGGUUAACCAUAUAUAUGUUUAAUGACCCUAAAUUUGAUAUUUUUUCCGAAAUAAUAUUGAGUAAAUGUGAGGAUUGAAUUUUAUUGAAUAGGAUUAAUGUGAUAGUGGUAGAAUGCAUUUAGGUGUGUUGUAACAUACUUUGAAUUUUUAGGGUGAAGUUGUUAUGGGUGAGAGUAUAUAUGACUGUUUUUAGUCUUGCAAAAAAAAAAAAAUUCUGCCCCCUUCAAACACCGACUCUCUCUCCUCUCUUCCAUUUUCUCUGCUACUCAGGGCUUAAAAACUCACCAAAACUUCGUUCCCUUCAAGACCUACACCUAAAACCACUUCCUCUACGCGUAUUGAGCUUGGAUCGCGUUUAUUUCGCACCAGAACUCACAUUUCUGAUUGGAGCUCAUUGGAGCAGGGUUUUUAUUUUUCCCUUCAAUCAAGGUCAAAUCUUGAGGUAAGAAGACAAAUUCUACUCUCUAGUGUAUAUAUGGUGUAUCGCAGAUGUCUUAUCCGUAUUGUUCAAAUUUAUCUAAAUUGUCAUUUGCUCCCAAAGUGGGUUUUGUUUGAGUUAGAUUUUGUGAUCCACAAAUUGGAACUUGUUUGAUGCAAUUGAUGGUUAUCUGACUUCCUUGAAGUCCAUUUAUACUCUACAUAUUGAGAUUUUGACCUAAGAUCUCACAAUUGUGUUUGGGUGAAAAGUCACCCUCUAGGUGAAAAUUCUGCAUUGCUAACCCCUGGCUUUUGGCUGCUGCCCCUAUUUUCUAGGCACUAUUCUCUGUUUUGGGUGGUUUCCCAACCACCUUUUGACACCCUUUUGGCCCCCGAUUGUCCAUUCCUUUAGAUUUCUGACCCUUACUACCAUUUUGAAUACGAAAUCCACAUCGAUAUCAUGAAUGAAAUCUUGAACACGUGAUUUAAUAAAUUUCGUAGUUUUUGAAUUGAAACGGCGGUUAACACUUUUUGAUGAAAACGGUGAUUUUGGACUAAAAAUGGGGAUUUUUGAGAGUUUUUGUAAGGCCAAAUGUUUUGAGGAUGGCGUUAAUGAUAAAAAUAAACUCUAGGGAUCACUCAUUUGGUUGUCCUAGCCAUGGGUGCACGGGCGCCCAUGAAAUCCGGCAGGGGUGCACGGCGCCCACGAACUAUAACAGGGGUGCACGGAGCCCACAAAAUCCAGCUAGAGGGGAUACUUCCCUUAAUAAAAUUGAUGAGUAUUUUUUUGAAAUAUUGGUGAUGUAUUCGAACUAAUUAAUGGAGUUGGCAAGAAUAGGUUUUCAAUAUGAGAAAAGAGGAAUUUGAGUAUUUGUUUGGAUUUUGGUGGGAUACUUAAAAACUUAAUUUGAGACAUUUGGACACAGUUAGACCACAUGACCACAUUACGGGUACUUCGUGGUGAAGUUAAGUCUUUUGUUCAUCUAGUACGUAAUCACAUUGGUCAUGUCCAUCAUCAUUCUCACUCAUUAUGCAUGUAUCAUGUUUAUACACUUAGCGAAGGUAGAAUAGUUUCCUACUGGGCUAGUGAGUUCAACUUAAAUUUUUCAGGUACUUCAGCAGGGAGCAUGAGGAUGGAUGCCUUGAAGUGUGGUUGCAUGACAUUGGAUUUCAUCAAGCAUGAAGUUAUUUUCCCAUCUUUGGUUCUAUUUUUGAAAGAUGGUUUUGUAACUUCUAUUUAUAAAUCUUUUGACUAUUUGGUUAUUGUAAUAACUUUUAAACUUGGUACUUAUGCAUUCGGGUUAUGGACGUUAGUGGAUAGAACUUGUUUCCAAAUGGUGAGAUUAUGUUUUGUUGACUUUAAUUUCAAGGAAUUAGAUGGAAAAAUCUUGCUUCAUCCUAACAUGGCUUUGAUUACUUUUGGCGUCAUUAAAUUUUAGGGCGUGACAAUAGAACAUACACCUCCUAUCUCAAAUGUUCAAGACUUUACGAAAAAAAUUAUAUAAAUAUGAGAGAGACAAGGGUAUUUAUUGGAGUCCGGAGAAACGUUGCGUGAUUUCCUUCACCGCUUUCUCUUUUCCACUUUCCCGCCCUUUUCUCUUUCUCUAUUUCUCGAGCUUUCAAGCUCCCUAGCUUUUCUCUCUUUCUCUUUUUUUCUCUCUUUCUCUCACUCUCCGUAUCUCUCUUUCUUUCCUUUUCAUUUUGUUUCUUCUUCCUCCUUUCUCUUCUUGUGCAAGCUCAUGCACAAGUUCCUAACAGCCAAGAUAUUUUGGCUUUUGCACAAGUUUCAACCUACGACAAAAUGUUUUGUCCAAAUCCCUUGACCCUUGGGAAAAUUAUCCCAUGUGAUCACCCCUUGGACCAUACCAUGAGCCAUCCCUCACGGCUUGACACAUGUCCAUUUUCUAUUAAAUCUUAUCAGAAAAUAUUAUUCGAGUAUAAUUUUCAUUACUGAAAAAUAUCCUAAAAACUUUAACUUAAUUCAUGUAAUUCCUAUUUCGGAUUGGGGUAUUACAGAAUUUACGUUAUGGUAUAGGGAUUGAUGAUCCCCCCUUGAAGAAGAUUACACGUUUUUAUUAUGUCAAACUCUAUAGGUGAAUUAUGAAUCUGACAUAUUAAAUAAGUUUAUUAAAUUUAAUUGCCAGUAAUUUAGUUUAAUAUACGAGUAUUUGUAAUCUUAACGCGGCGAGAUAAAUAAAUAUUUAAUAAAAUAGAGCCUAAAAAUAUAAUCCUGAUAUGACAAGGAGUGCAAUUAUAAUUAUUUAGUGGCCUUAAUUAUAAUUUACAUAAAUAGGGAUUAAUCCUAGUUGGAUUAGGAAUCCUAGUUUGUGUAGAAAACCUAAUCAUAUUGAAUCUGUGGUCCAUGUUGUAGCUUAUAUAUACAUGCUCUAUUAGCAACUAAGGUUAAGAGACAUAUUCUCAAAAACCUUAGCAACCGCGAGCCCACUCUCUCUAGAGCAAGACGUGUGUGAGGAAUACAAUAGAAGAUUGGAGGUUGUGAUCGAGCGGAUUCUAAAGAUCAUACUUAUUGCUAUUCGGAAUUAAUGAAUGUAUGAUUCUAAUUAUAUAGAUUAGUCUUCGCCAAUUUUAUUAGAUUUUUUGGUAUUAUGCGUAUGUACUAUAGUUGGGUCGUGCGAAAUUUCGCAGCCCCCAACAAUUGGACUCACUGCGUGGCUUGUAGUAAAUUCGUUUUGUUAUUUUAUAAGUUUCCAUUUAUAGAAUUAUUUGUAAAAAAAAAAUAAACAAACAUUAUUCAAUAAUUUUAGUCAUAUUAUUUCAGCAUAUAUAUCUAAAAUCAAGUAUGUUUUAAUAUAAUCAAAUGAGUUGAAUUCGGAUUGGAUUCAUAGUAGUCUGAUUUGAUCUGAAUACAAACACAUAUAAACCUGAUUCAUUCCAUUUUCUUUUUUUACUACUUGGGGCUAAGAAAAAAAAUACAUGUAAUUACUUUUUUCAUAUCAAAAUAUAAAACAGAUUGAAUUGGAUUGGAUAAAAUCCUUGGAUUAUCAAAUUCACAUUAAAUAAGUUUCAGAUUGUAUUUUGAUAGGCGAAUUCGGAUUUAGCUGGAUCGUCUUGACAUGCCAAGAUUUUGAUCCCAACAUUAUUCCAUCAUAUUGUUACUUUUUUUUAUGGUAUUAUCGUCUUAUAUGAACCUAUAAAUUAGUAUUAUUGGAUCGAAAAAUCAUAUACAUAUCACCCAAUACAACAGUUGGACUCGUACCUACCCGGAAUAAAGUUAAGUGUUUAUAAAGAGUCUCGACUAAUCUGCACUGGUAGCUUAACAGUUAAAAAGACGAACUUUGAGAUGAACCGUAGACUCGAAGAUCCUUCGACCUUGACAUCUUGUGUUUAAUUUUGAUAUUUAUUCUGCACAGUGAAUCCAAUGUGAUUCUACCUUAGGGAGAGUUCUUGUCAUAAAGACAAAGUGUUUAAGACUUAACACAAGUUAAAACAACAACAAAAAAAUAAAUCUCUUCUUUUGGUGGUAUUUACAUUGAAAAGUAAGUAAUCAAUUAUUUGGUAUUUGAGUCUCUUUUGGGUACACUAAUGCAUUAUUUUUUUCAAAAAUUUGUUGUAUAUAUAUACACAAAUUCUUUGAUUUUGUUUCAUGCUUUAUAUAUAUAUAUAUAAAUUUUGUAUUAUCUUCAACAUGUUUGUGGUUUGAAAAAAUUAUUUUCUUUGAUUCUUGAAUUUAUGAACUUGAUCUUUUUUUUACUUGAAAUUUGAGUUGUGCUAUUUUGCAGUAUUGGUGACUUGAUUCUUAAUAUUAUUUCCUUUUGUAUUUAGUAUGGUUACCAAUGAUCAUGGUGUAUAUAAUGCAUGCAUGAGAAUGUCAGAGUAUUCUAGGAUUUGUUGCCCUUAUUAUUAUUAUUUAUGAUUUUUUAAAAGAAAAGUAAAAUUUUACGUCCUGUUUGAUUAUAUGAUUCGAUCUAUAGGUGACGUAAGAUCCCGAUCAUAAUAAUUAGGCGUCGUCGACCUUGUCAUUCUUGUAUUUUUAAUGGAAGAAAAAGUAGAGAACUAUACUUCAUUUUUUCAAAAAAUAAAGUUACUAUGUAUUUCAAUUUUUUCUGAUGUAUUCACCAAAGAUUAGUAAGUUAAAACCAAAAAAAAUAGACUCUCAUCUAAUAAAAAGUUUUUUUUUUGUUAUUAGAGAGGUAUGGCUUCAGUAGAUUUUUUUUUUAAUAUUUUUUUGCGAGCGUGUGAAACAUAGAAUAAAUUAAAAAAAUUAAUACAAACUAUAAAAACAUGACAGUCUGUCUAAAGGAGUCGAACGACUCGAACCUGCAUCCUUCAGCAUGUUAAUGUGAACUGUUAGGAUCGAAUAAAAUCCCCAAAUCCUCUCUUAGCCGUUUAUCAGCAUCAGAGCAAAAGUCGCUAAGCUGUUAAUCCAGAGGCGGAUGUUUCAACCUCUCGAAACUCUCUCCCCUCCUCAAAACCCAAUCCCUCUCUCGCUACGGCCCGUCGAAACUCAAAACCCUAAAUGCCUAACCCAAACUAACGAACGCAAGCGCACAAAUGGCCGACGCCGAGGUCGCAAGAGACUCAUCUCGUGACAGCGGCAACAACUCGCCGCACAUAAUCUUGCCCCCCAACAAGAACCUCUUGUAACUUGCUCCGAGUACGACUACAUGUUUUUUGAAUUAAAUCUUGAUCUCAUAUGGUGUUUAGAUGUUGGCAUUGCUAUUUUUCUUCUUGUCCGUUGGUUUGUGUCACAAUUUCAGUGCAUUUGUUUCGGACGCAAAGUUGAACGGAUUCUUUAAUAUUUUUUUCACAUAACUGAUUUUAAUGCGUUCAAAUUCUAUUUAUCUUCGUUGUCCUGUUGGUAUGUUCGAUUUUACUUUUUUUUUCUUCUUUUUUUCUCUUUUUUUCACGCAACACUGUUUUGAAGAGAAUGAGUUGUUGUUUAUGGUUUUAUGUUCCAUUUACCAAAUCUCCGUUGAAACUCCGCAGAUUGUUCAAAAUUCCAGUUCAAAGCGUUUCCGACCAAAGUUAAACCUCUUACAUGUGUUUACAGUAUUGAGAUUUUUUCAUGCAAUGCUGUUUCUGAUAGAAUGAGAAUCGAUUUGUGGUUUUGAAUCAAGUGCACUUACCGAAUCACCUUUAAACUCAUUGUUCAAACUUUCAGUUCAAUUUGUUUCAUACCGAAGUUGAACAUAAUUUUUAAUAUUUUUGUUCACAUAUUUCUUUAAGGUGUCACUGAUAUUUUCCUUUGUUGUCCUGUUGGUAUGUCUUUCAUUUUCGGAAAUGCAGUUUUUCUUUGAUAGAAUGAGAAGAAAUGCAGAGUUUCAUAUGGUUUUUGUAUUUCAUUAAUUGGGAUCUUAUAUAUCAAUUGAAUGCAAUUACCGAUCUCCAUUUAAUUGUCAUGUUUAGUCUCUUUUUACCGUAUGACGCCACAUUGUAUUCAUUUAUCUUGGAAAGUGCUGGCUCAUAUUUAGUUUUGUGGUCAUACCUCAUUUUUCCCCCGAACCCUCUUCUUCUUCUUGUUCUUCUUUUUUUUUUUUUUUUUAACACAGAUGCAAUAUGUUUCAAUUCUGCUUGUUAUUCUUAAUUUACUGGAAGUCAUUUUUAACUAUCUCGAUUUCUCUGUGAAGAAAUGCACUUGUUUUGGAUUUAAAAAAGGCUAAUGUAUUGGGUGACAUUUCAAGAUUUGAUCCUCUAAAUGGGUUUUAUUGUUUUUCCGUCUUGGAAGGGCUUGCACUGGGUUUGAAGAGACUUUAAAUUCUAUACCUCAAUUUGUCAAGCCUGAAUUGUUGUAUGUGAUGAUUCUAGGGUUCAACAAUAUCUGGGAUGUCUUUUGGAGAUGCUGAGCGUGGUAACAAUAUUAAGUUAUGCCGUUAUGGUUAUCAGUUAUCACAAUGAUUGUUGGCGUUCAAAGCUUGAUAGUCAUGCAUAGAAUUAUUGUUGAGAAUUGUUUGUUAGUCAGUUCAGUUUGGCAUGCGGAUGUGAAUAGUGGGGAACACCGGGGGUGGAGGGGCAAUUAUACAAUUUCAGAUGCUUCACAAAUGGAUGACUAUGCCCAUUGCAAUGGUUGACAUUAAAUAAGUAAUAUCUGGAAGGGUCCAGAGUUUUUUGAAUUUUAACUGUAUUUUCAUAGAGGGAUUUUCAACUAUUCGGAUUUGUUAGGUAGUUGCUUGUUUUGUGCCAGUGCUGUAAUGGUAAUUCUUUGUUCCUUCAACCCAUUUCGUAAGUUACAUUGGUAGAGGUCUUUUUGGAAAGGUCCUCUUAGUGGCUUACGGAUAAUCUGAGUGUUAUAUCACGUUUAUUGGUUUCCUACAGAAACAAUUGUAGAAGAGACUAAACACACAUUUUUUUGUUUUGUUUUGCUUAAAAAAUCUUUUAAUAUUUGGUGGUUUGUGUAUCUUGGAAUUUUAGCUGGGACUGUUGAGUAUUUUUUUGUUAUGGUAAUUGAUGGAACAUUAUUCUCUUCAUAAACAACAGACCACCUUUCGUCAUGCCUUAUUCGAUAUUUUGUCACUAAGAGAAGAUAUGCUGUUCAAGCAUAUUCAUAUAUCUUCCUUCAUCAUGACUCAUGUUGCUUAUCGUGCC